rnacentral:rRNA from 1 species
UACGUAGGUGGCAAGCGUUGUCCGGAUUUAUUGGGUUUAAAGGGUGCGUAGGCGGUUUUCUAAGUCAGUCAGUGAAAUACGGCAGCUCAAACUGUCGAGGGUGCUGUUGAUACUGGGGAACUUGAGUACUGAUGAGGUAGGCGGAAUGGACGGUGUAGCGGUGAAAUGACUUAGAGAUCGUCCAGAACACCGAUAGCGAAGGCAGCUUACUAAGGAGUAACUGACGCUGAGGCACGAAAGGUGUGGGGAGUACAAACAGG